rnacentral:rRNA from 1 species
AACGAACGCUGGCGGCGUGGAUAAGACAUGCAAGUCGAACAGGAUUUUUUUCUGUAGCAAUACAGAGAAAAGUCUAGUGGCGAACGGGUGCGUAACACGUGAGCAACCUGCCGUGAAGUGGGGGAUAGCUCGCCGAAAGGCGAAUUAAUACCGCAUGUGGCCAAGGAAGACAUCUUCCUGACGCCAAAGCCGGGGCAACCUGGCGCUUCUCGAGGGGCUCGCGGCCUAUCAGCUUGGUGGUGAGGGAACGGCUCACCAAGGCUAUGACGGGUAGCUGGGCUGAGAGGACGACCAGCCACACUGGAACUGAGACACGGUCCAGACACCUACGGGUGGCAGCAGUCGAGAAUUUUUCACAAUGGGGGAAACCCUGAUGGAGCGACGCCGCGUGGAGGAUGAAGGUUUUCGGAUUGUAAACUCCUGUCAUUAGAGAACAAGGCACACGGUUUAACUGGCCGUGUGUUGAUAGUAUCUGAAGAGGAAGAGACGGCUAACUCUGUGCCAGCAGCCGCCGUAA